CGGAACGUGCCCAAUCGUGGGGGAUAGCUCGGCGAAAGCCGGAUUAAUACCGCAUACGAUCUACGGAUGAAAGCAGGGGACUCGCAAGGGCCUUGCGCGAAUGGAGCGGCCGAUGGCAGAUUAGGUAGUUGGUGGGGUAAAGGCUCACCAAGCCGACGAUCUGUAGCUGGUCUGAGAGGACGACCAGCCACACUGGGACUGAGACACGGCCCAGACUCCUACGGGAGGCAGCAGUGGGGAAUUUUGGACAAUGGGCGCAAGCCUGAUCCAGCAAUGCCGCGUGCAGGAUGAAGGCCUUCGGGUUGUAAACUGCUUUUGUACGGAACGAAAAAGCUCUGGUUAAUACCUGGGGCCCAUGACGGUACCGUAAGAAUAAGCACCGGCUAACUACGUGCCAGCAGCCGCGGUAAUACGUAGGGUGCGAGCGUUAAUCGGAAUUACUGGGCGUAAAGCGUGCGCAGGCGGUGAUGUAAGACAGUUGUGAAAUCCCCGGGCUCAACCUGGGAACUGCAUCUGUGACUGCAUCGCUGGAGUGCGGCAGAGGGGGAUGGAAUUCCGCGU
rnacentral:rRNA from 1 species